CUUGACGAUCAUAGAGCGUUGGAACCACCUGAUCCCUUCCCGAACUCAGAAGUGAAACGACGCAUCGCCGAUGGUAGUGU
rnacentral:rRNA from 1 species